rnacentral:pre_miRNA from 1 species
UUCAAGUAAUCCAGGAUAGGCUGUAUGCCUUUGCUAAGCCUGUCCUCGGUUGCUUGGACC